CAUAACCAGUGCUUACAGAUUUCUGUAUUUGUUAAUUAGAACAAUGAUUAGCACACACCCACUUAAUCCCUCAGAGAGUCAACAGUAAGCAUCUCACAUCUGAUCUGCUGCUGAAGUGAGCAUCCUAGGAAGCAGGUGACAUCUGCGCACCCAGCCGUGGCAUGUGAGUAAUCCCCAAGCCUUGGUGUCUGAGAUGGGAAAGUCCAAAUGGGAGAAAACAGGUUUCCUUGUACAGCCCUGAGUGUUCUGGAACUAGCUAUGGAGAGCAGGCUGGCCUUGAACUCACUGAGAUCUGCCUGCCUCUGUUUCUUCCCAAAGUGCCUGAUUAAAGGUGUGCACACCAC